rnacentral:rRNA from 1 species
CCGAAUUCGUCGACAACAGAGUUUGAUCCUGGCUCAGGACGAACGCUGGCGGCGUGCCUAAUACAUGCAAGUCGAGCGGAUUGAUGGGAGCUUGCUCCCUGAUAUCAGCGGCGGACGGGUGAGUAACACGUGGGUAACCUGCCUGUAAGACUGGGAUAACUCCGGGAAACCGGGGCUAAUACCGGAUAACUCAUUUCCUCGCAUGAGGAAAUGUUGAAAGGUGGCUUCGGCUACCACUUACAGAUGGACCCGCGGCGCAUUAGCUAGUUGGUGAGGUAACGGCUCACCAAGGCAACGAUGCGUAGCCGACCUGAGAGGGUGAUCGGCCACACUGGGACUGAGACACGGCCCAGACUCCUACGGGAGGCAGCAGUAGGGAAUCUUCCGCAAUGGACGAAAGUCUGACGGAGCAACGCCGCGUGAGUGAUGAAGGUUUUCGGAUCGUAAAGCUCUGUUGUUAGGGAAGAACAAGUGCCGUUCAAAUAGGGCGGCACCUUGACGGUACCUAACCAGAAAGCCACGGCUAACUACGUGCCAGCAGCCGCGGUAAUACGUAGGUGGCAAGCGUUGUCCGGAAUUAUUGGGCGUAAAGCGCGCGCAGGUGGUUCCUUAAGUCUGAUGUGAAAGCCCACGGCUCAACCGUGGAGGGUCAUUGGAAACUGGGGAACUUGAGUGCAGAAGAGGAAAGUGGAAUUCCA